CAAAUCCCUACUCAGCAGAUAAAUGGCCGGAUAGCAAGAGGAGUCUACUGGAAAACAGAGCAUCCCCAGGUCUCCAUGGCAGCUGGGACCAAGAGAAAUGUCUUCCAGGUCUGAAGCCAGGCACCCACGUCACAUGCUUCUUCC
rnacentral:lncRNA from 1 species